UACGGAGGGUGCGAGCGUUGUCCGGAAUCACUGGGCGUAAAGGGCGCGUAGGCGGUCCGGUAAGCGUGUGGUGAAAGCCCGGGGCUCAACCCCGGGUCUGCCGUGCGAACUGCCGGACUCGAGCACUGUAGAGGCAGGUGGAAUUCCGAGUGUAGCGGUGGAAUGCGUAGAGAUCGGGAGGAACAUCAGUGGCGAAGGCGGCCAUCUGGGACAACACUGACGCUGAGGCACGAAAGCGUGGGGAGCAAACAGG
rnacentral:rRNA from 1 species